rnacentral:rRNA from 1 species
AUACGUAGGGGGCUAGCGUUAUCCGGAAUUACUGGGCGUAAAGGGUGCGUAGGUGGUUUCUUAAGUCAGAAGUGAAAGGCUACGGCUCAACCGUAGUAAGCUUUUGAAACUAAGAGACUUGAGUGCAGGAGAGGAGAGUAGGAUUCCUAGUGUAGCGGUGAAAUGCGUAGAUAUUAGGAGGAAUACCAGUUGCGAAGGCGGGUCUCUGGCCUGUAACUGACACUGAGGCACGAAAGCGGGGGGAGCAAACAGGAUUAGAUACCCUGGUAGUCCACGCCGUAAACGAUGAGUACUAGCUGUCGGGGGUUACCCCCCUCGGUGGCGCAGCUAACGCAUUAAGUACUCCGCCUGGGAAGUACGCUCGCAAGAGUGAAACUCAAAGGAAUUGACGGGG